GACGAACGCUGGCGGCGUGCGUAACACAUGCAAGUCGAACGAGAGAGUGAGAGAGCUUGCUUUUCUUACGAUCGAGUGGCAAACGGGUGAGUAACGCGUAAACACCUGCCCCGCAGAUGGGGACAACAGCUGGAAACGGCUGCUAAUACCGAAUACGGUCCUCUUAGCGCAUGGUAAGAGGAAGAAAGGGUGGCCUCUGGAACAAGCUACCGCUGUGGGAGGGGUUUGCGUCUGAUUAGCUGGUUGGAGGGGUAACGGCCCACCAAGGCGACGAUCAGUAGCCGGUCUGAGAGGAUGAACGGCCACAUUGGAACUGAGACACGGUCCAGACUCCUACGGGAGGCAGCAGUGGGGAAUCUUCCGCAAUGGGCGAAAGCCUGACGGAGCAACGCCGCGUGAGUGAAGACGGCCUUCGGGUUGUAAAGCUCUGUUAUAGGGGACGAACGGCCGGGUAGCGAAUAGGUACCCGGCAUGACGGUAACCGUAAGAGAAACCACGGCUAACUACAC
rnacentral:rRNA from 1 species